GACGAACGCUGGCGGCGUGCUUAACACAUGCAAGUCGAACGGAAAGGCCCUGCUUUUGUGGGGUGCUCGAGUGGCGAACGGGUGAGUAACACGUGAGUAACCUGCCCUUGACUUUGGGAUAACUUCAGGAAACUGGGGCUAAUACCGGAUAGGAGCUCCUGCUGCAUGGUGGGGGUUGGAAAGUUUCGGCGGUUGGGGAUGGACUCGCGGCUUAUCAGCUUGUUGGUGGGGUAGUGGCUUACCAAGGCUUUGACGGGUAGCCGGCCUGAGAGGGUGACCGGCCACAUUGGGACUGAGAUACGGCCCAGACUCCUACGGGAGGCGCAGUGGGGAAUAUUGCACAAUGGGCGGAAGCCUGAUGCAGCAACGCCGCGUGCGGGAUGACGGCCUUCGGGUUGUAAACCGCUUUCGCCUGUGACGAAGCGUGAGUGGCGGUAAUGGGUAAAGAAGCACCGGCUAACUACGUG
rnacentral:rRNA from 1 species